CCCAUGUUGAUAAGAGUAUUAAAUACUUGACAUGUCUCCCUUUAAGGUACAUUUUGAACAGAUAAAAAAUGUGUGAUUAAUUUGUGAUUAAUGGCAAUUAGCUAUGGACAAUCAUGCGAUUAAUCUUUAAGGUGUAGAUCUACUGGUUGGAGAGACUGUGGUGGUGACUAUCCAUCUCGACUGUUUAACAGUUGGCAAGAGAAGAUAGUGGGCUGGAAACCUUUGUCUCUUUCCAAACAUUCACCUGCAAAGAAGAAGUGUAGAAAACAGGACAAGAAAACAUGGCGGCAGUUUGAGCUCUACGAGGUUUUUCACCUUUGUGUGUUAAUUUUGUCUUUCAGUGUCCUUAUUAAAGCGGUCCUUUUCCAUCUGCAUCAACUACUGCUGAUGAGUCUUUUUCAUCCGGUGAAGGAGCGCUCAUAUUUCUCUUGAGUAGCACCUCUACUCCUUCAGAAUACCAAUAAGUCUUACAUUGGGCCUAAAAUCAAUAUGAUCCUUUCCAAAUCUGUAUUUAUUCCUCUCUCAGAUUGUCUCCCAACCUUAGAAGCUCGGCUGUGCUGUAGGACAGAGAGGAGGCUGGAGAAGGAGGGAGGACGUGAGGGGAAUGUGAGGGCGAGUGUUGCUCUGCUGGUCGGUGAAAUUGGCGGUUCUAGUUUCGGAUAAGAGGUCGUCUCAGGACUUCGAGAGACGGGAAUGAGCUCAAGUCUCGUGUCGUAAUUUGCUUGGAUCUGGCGCGGGGUGAAGUGGAACCAUCAGUUUUGGCGUGCUUCCUGUUGUUCAGUUUUGUGUAACUUUUCUUCCGUGGAUUGUAUGCCAUUCGAACACCUGCACAUGGCCUGAAAAAAACGUGUCUGAUCUCGGUGACGUCAGCAGGGUCCCGACAAGACCAGGAAACGGCUCCCUCCCUUUUCGGUUUCGGAGGAGUGAUGUCAUCGCAGGGCGAGUGUGAGGUUGGCUGAGGCUUUAGUGAGCUUGACGUUUUAUCACCAAGAGCACCAGACGUAUGACCACAUGCACCAGUCAGUACGGGGGACACAAAGUGAGAACCAAGUAACAUGGCAACACGUUAGGGACUCGUCAUAAACCCCCCCUCGCCCCCCGAGAGGGGAAAAGGAGUGUGAGGCAAAGGCACGCAGAGAGACAGAGAUGCAGAAACCCAGAGGGGAAGAGGGACGGCAUGAGUGUGCAUGCUGAUGGGGAUAGGAGCGCGUGGAGCUACAGAGCUGCAGAAUCCUGAAUCCAGCAGAUGGAGACUCCGUGUCCUUGUUUUGCGGUGAUCUCUGGGAGCAACAUGCAGCUCGCGCCGCUGCCUCGCACUGCUGCAGUGGAGGAGUAAAUGCGGAGCCCAACACUGCUCCAGGUGAUCCACAGCAGCCCAGCCCGGCAGACUGCUCCCUCCUUAGCCUUCCCUCUCCUCCUCCUCCUCCUCCUCCUUCUCCUCCUCCUCCACCUCCUCUUCCUCCUCCUCUUCCUCCUCUGUCAAUGCUCCAUUCCUCUGAGGGCUUUGAAAAAAAUAACAAGAAAGGAGCAGAAAAACAGAGGAGAAAUCCGGCUUUCCCCCUCCGUUCUCAGAUGUGAAACACCUCUGCAUGACUGUCCGCCGCUUCCCUGUCAUCGUGUGAAGACGCACCGCAUAUGUGCUCCAAUGUCUCCGGAACAUAGACUCGCUGCAAGGUAGGAAGACUUAUCCAGAAAAAAACGCUUGCUUUUUUUGGGGGGCUUUCAUUUUCUAUGGAACUGUUACAUCCUUGUGUGUGUGUGUGUGUGUGUGUGUGUGUGUGUGUGUGCGUGUCCAUACAGUAUGUAUGUGUGUGUAACAGCAUCCAGCAGGGUGGGAGGGAUUGCUCCUCAAACAGGCUCCUCGAUGGGCAACAAGGGGAUUUUCGUCUUGACAAUGUGGCCAAACAGCUUUCCAUCGAUCUUCUUAAGGCCACUAAUGUCGGCACAAUCUCUGGCUUCAAAAUAACUGACAGACUGCCUUCUUUAAUGGCACCAGUAGUUAAUCAUUAUGUAAUCAUUUUUAUCGGUUCUGUUAGGCUGUAGAGAGAGAGAGAGAGAGAGAGAGAGAGAGAGAGAGAGAAAAAAAA